UGUUAUCGACAUGUGAAUUCAUAGCAUGUCAGAAGGCAGACCCGGAGAACUGAAACAUCUUAGUACCCGGAGGAAGAGAAAGAAAAAUCGAUUCCCUGAGUAGCGGCGAGCGAAACGGGAAGAGCCCAAACCAACAAGCUUGCUUGUUGGGGUUGUAGGACACUCUAUACGGAGUUACAAAAGAACAUGUUAGACGAAUCAUCUGGAAAGAUGAAUCAAAGAAGGUAAUAAUCCUGUAGUCGAAAACAUAUUCUCUCUUUAGUCGA
rnacentral:rRNA from 1 species